rnacentral:lncRNA from 10 species
UUGGAGUCACUACUAAGCUGAGGCCACAGCAGAAAGACCACUACAUUUUGCAUGACCUAGGGGCUCCAUGCCAGCCUGUCUGCACCAGAGCCCUUUCAAAGCACGUGGUUUAGUUCAGGGCUCACAUUGGAUGUUGCCUGGUGUUGUUUGGCCAGCAAGGGCUCCCUGCCAGGAUCCAUGAGUCGGCG